GGGCUACAACAAAAUGAAGUAAAAUGUGUUUUCUACAAGGGAAAAACAUCAGGAAAUACCAAAACUUGCAUAUUUUUUCCAAUUUGAGAGCUAGGGUUUAUAUGAAAAAAAGGAGAUUUGCCUAAAUUCCCAACAUCAUCUGCAAAAUCAUUCCAUUGAAAGGCACUUGAGGAGAAAUUGGGGUAAAGCAACUUCAAGCCCGACUAGUGAUAGCUUUUCAAAGAAUGUGGUCUCAAAUCCUUCGGAAUCAGCAACAGAAGU
rnacentral:lncRNA from 1 species